ensembl:lncRNA
CUUGGCGAUGGCCUCACUUCAGCACAGGUGGAUCUGGGACAUUCUUUUAGAAUGGCUGCCUGGUGGUGUUCUGAUAGGCAGCAAAUUGUAAUUAUUCAAUCAGUCUUUGAUUGAAGGGUAUCGAGGUUGUUUCCAGUCUUUUGCUGUUACAAACAAUUCAGUGAACAUCUGUGUGUAUGUGAUUGAACCAUGUGUGUAACUGUGUCUAUAGGAUAAAUUCUUAGAAGAGGAGCUGUCUUGACGAAGAAUAUUUUCAUUUUUCAUUUUCUAUAUCUUUCCGGCCAGGUCUGCCUCGUUACAGGCAGAUUCUUCACUAUCUGAGCCAUCAGGCAAGCUCAAGAAUACUGGAGUGGGUAGCCUAUCCCUUCUCCAGGGGAUUUUUCCUGACCCAGGAAUUGAACCAGGGUCUCCUGCAUUGCAGGUGGAUUCUUUACCAGCUGGCCUACCAGGGAAGGAUAUUAGGGAGUUUCUAAUUUUUCACUCUUUUGAGCAAGUUGUGAUAAUAUGCGUCUCUCUUUUCUUCUCACUUAGCCAAUUCUGUAAGUGUAAAAUGUACUGCAAAGAAUGGAGACUAUGGAUUUAGUUUUGGGAUGGAGCCUUCCUGUGCCUAACUACCUUUUCGCAUGUGAUCAGUUAAUCUCUGGCUAUAAUGUGCCAGGAUGCCUAUAGAUUCUGUGCUUUCCUUUAAUAUCUUUUUGGGAAGUAUCCAUACUUUUUGCACAUAAAGAGAGAAGCAAGUCAACUAUUUCCUUAUGGUUUUCGUAUUUCAGUGCUUGCCUGACAGACUAAAAAUGGAAAUUUCCUUUUUAAACUGUAUAGCAUCUCUGAAGCUCAGUGAGAAACUAUAAGUGUUAUUACUUGUUCAUCUAGAAAACAUGUCAGAGACCAUCUGGUCCAGUCCCUUCCUUUACAGGUGAGGAAGCUGGGUUUCAGAGAUGUUAUCUGAGUCCUGUAUUCCUUAGCUGCAUGAGGUGGUGCAGGAUUCACAUCGGAGUUGAUAUUGUUUAUUUUUAUCUGAAUUGUACAUUCUUUCUUCAGGGCAAUUUUUGUGUGUUGGUAAACUGGCUUUGAUUACAGAAUUGCUGAAUACAGCACAUUUCUGUAGAAUCCUGGCUGAGCCAGAUGCCUGACUUCCCUCGAAAGCUCAGCUCCGCGUACAGUCUUCUCACCUUCUCCUUCUGCUCUACCAUUUGCACUGAAAAAGUUGCUUUGUGAAUUUCCUUUCUUGUCAACCAUUUUUCCAUUGGUUUAGACAGUUUAACCAAUGUUAUGCAGCAUUGUUUCUUCAGUUACUUAUCAGGCUUUUAUUUUGCUUCCCAUUGAGAAAGCAGAACUUACUAUAAACCCUCAUCGGUAGAGCUUUCAUUUAUACUGUAAAAUAAUGCUUUAGAUGAGCAUUCUGAAAGUCUUGGAGAACUGAGGUUGGUUAGUUUUGGUCCUUACUGUUCCUGAACUAAGACAUCAUUAAGACUGAAUCUCUUUUUCCCUACCCUUUGUAGAUUGUGUAGACAGUUCUUUCCACUGCUUUUGAAAAAAG